rnacentral:pre_miRNA from 1 species
CAGGGGAAGGGGGGGCCCCCUCAGCCCGGAUUGCAAGAUGGCACAGGCCAGGCUGAGGGACCCCACUGGUGCACA